rnacentral:rRNA from 1 species
AUUGAACGCUGGCGGCAGGCUUAACACAUGCAAGUCGAGCGGAGAUGAGGUGCUUGCACCUUAUCUUAGCGGCGGACGGGUGAGUAAUGCUUAGGAAUCUGCCUAUUAGUGGGGGACAACAUUCCGAAAGGAAUGCUAAUACCGCAUACGUCCUACGGGAGAAAGCAGGGGAUCUUCGGACCUUGCGCUAAUAGAUGAGCCUAAGUCGGAUUAGCUAGUUGGUGGGGUAAAGGCCUACCAAGGCGACGAUCUGUAGCGGGUCUGAGAGGAUGAUCCGCCACACUGGGACGGAGACACGGCCCAGACUCCUACGGGAGGCAGCAGUGGGGAAUAUUGGACAAUAGGCAGAAGCCUGAUCCAGCCAUGCCGCGUGUGUGAAGAAGGCCUUUUGGUUGUAAAGCACUUUAAGCGAGGAGGAGGCUACCUGGAUUAAUACUCUAGGAUAGUGGACGUUACUCGCAGAAUAAGCACCGGCUAACUCUGUGCCAGCCGCCGCAGUAACAC